CUCCUGCUGAGAACACAGAUGACUUUUCGCGCUGGUCGCGAGGUGAGACCCUCUCAGCAGAAUGCCCCCAAAGGCACGUGCGCGCAUGACGAAUUGAAAGCCAUUAUGAGCCAGGCACAUCUGUCCUGACACCUGACGAUGGAGAACUGUAGGUCCUGCACCGCCGCCGCCCCCGAUCAAGCGACGUGAAAUAGCAGCAGCUGAUCCUGCAAAUGAAAGCCAUCACCGCGACAGUAGGAUUCGAAUAGCUGAGGCAAUUUCGAACUUUUUACGACUCCGUGGACAUCGUUUCGCCCAAAGUCGCCACCUCCUCCCCCAACUACCCAACAUGCGUCUUCAGGCAGGCAGAACGGGAUUUUGUCAACAGAAAUGAUUUUGCAAUAACUGAGGACUAACCGAUAAACGUGAACAAGACCACCUGUGGCUGAAAUCUGGACAGACCUCUUUAUGAACCAGACAAAACCUGAUGUAGUCUACAGAAAGAGUAAAUAACACAGAGUAAAUUCAAUUAGGCUUUAAUGUAAACAGCUGAUUUUAGGGCAUUAAACGCUAACAAAUGUAUGAAAGGAACAAUUUAUUCAAUUUAAAUUAAACGUACACAUACAUCCAAAUAGGCAGCAAGAACUCUGAGGGGAAAUUAAUAAAGACCCACUGCUGAGACUGACAGGAACAAUGUUGUAAUACUAACUACUUGGCAGCUUCACAAAGAUCGCUUAAGUUACACCAGCCUGGAAACAAAAGCAUGUAUUGCUUCAGAGUUGCUACGGCUGAUAUGGGAAGGGGGUGGGGGGAGCCAGACUGGAAUUAAGUGAGGAUAAGGAUAGUUUGCAGACGUCAGACAUGCCCAUGAAUUCAGGGGUAGACCGAAAACACUUCUUUUGCAGAGUGGAUACACUGGAUGGAUUUUCCUCGUACAUGUGUGUAACGUACAAGAUGCACUUCAUUUAACAGUCUGUGAAGCAGGCGUACAAUAUGGUUUACAGGUGUUAAGAUAAAUGCUGGAUGUCACUCGCCCCCCUCUUUUCUCUCGACUAUAGCUGCCAGUUCA